rnacentral:rRNA from 1 species
AAAUUGAAGAGUUUGAUCAUGGCUCAGAUUGAACGCUGGCGGCAGGCCUAACACAUGCAAGUCGAACGGUAACAGGAAGCAGCUUGCUGCUUCGCUGACGAGUGGCGGACGGGUGAGUAAUGUCUGGGAAACUGCCUGAUGGAGGGGGAUAACUACUGGAAACGGUGGCUAAUACCGCAUAACGUCGCAAGACCAAAGAGGGGGACCUUCGGGCCUCUUGCCAUCAGAUGUGCCCAGAUGGGAUUAGCUGGUUGGUGAGGUAACGGCUCACCAAGGCGACGAUCCCUAGCUGGUCUGAGAGGAUGACCAGCCACACUGGAACUGAGACACGGUCCAGACUCCUACGGGAGGCAGCAGUGGGGAAUAUUGCACAAUGGGCGCAAGCCUGAUGCAGCCAUGCCGCGUGUAUGAAGAAGGCCUUCGGGUUGUAAAGUACUUUCAGCGGGGAGGAAGGUGUUGUGGUUAAUAACUGCAGCAAUUGACGUUACCCGCAGAAGAAGCACCGGCUAACUCCGUGCCAGCAGCC